rnacentral:rRNA from 1 species
UACGAAGGGGGCUAGCGUUGUUCGGAAUUACUGGGCGUAAAGCGCGCGCAGGCGGCUAUCCAAGUCAGUGGUGAAAGCCCGGAGCUUAACUCCGGAACUGCCAUUGAAACUGUUUAGCUUGAGGACGAGAGAGGUGAGUGGAAUUCCCAGUGUAGAGGUGAAAUUCGUAGAUAUUGGGAAGAACACCGGUGGCGAAGGCGGCUCACUGGGCUCGUUUCGUGACGCUCAGGCGCGACAGCGUGGGGAUCAAACAGG